GAUAUUUUCGAUUUGUGGAGCGGAGCGACGGCGCCGAGGAGCGAAGCGAUGAGUGCCGCUAGCAUGGCAUCACUGUACGAUGUUUUUUCAAAUUGGUGUCACUGUAAUAUGCUGGUAUGGUAUUGUGGUAUAAACUGCCUUAUCAUUUUUCGGACAACUUACUGCCCCCAACACUGUUCAAUGUUCAUCCACCGGAAUACCAGAUCCACAACACAGACUGGUUACUGAUUAGUGAUCACUUGGGACUUGGGGAUUUAUUCAAUAAUUUCAUUCUAUUGCGUUUGUCUCUUGUGAGUUUCACCGUAGGUCGAUAAUUAAUAAUCAGAACAUAGGUCAUAGAAUAUUUAGUGUAUAACUACUAACUGCCGCAGUAGCGUCCGAUCAACCUAACCUGCCCACCUGCACUCGUAGCUCUCGCACAGAAUGUUCGGAAGACCAGCCCAGGCUGUCCAGCCAAAACCACGCACAGCCAUGGAAAAGGUCAAGUUCAUCUACCAGGACGAAAACAUUUGGAAUGUCGUGAAGAGCUUAGCUUUUUUCGUCGUCGCAGUCAAGUUCACCCGAGAGUUUCACGGUGUCGAACUCAUACACUGAUGUCUAAUAAGUACAGAACUUCGUCGCCAUCUAGCUGUCCACUCUUUGCCCAUUACCAAUGUACAUACCAACUUACUAUUUACAUUUAAAUAUACUGAAUGAUAUAUAAUGAUUGUAAGACUCAUUGAAAGGAAAUAUCUUUCCCUUAUGUAACAUUGAAAAUUAUAUUAUGUACAAGAUUUA